rnacentral:piRNA from 1 species
UGCUGGUUGCUAGGGACCUAGAUGCUGA